UCUACAGUGCGGGCCACAGGCGGAGACCUAGGAGAGCCGACGGUGCAGGUGGAGUCUGAGGGCGUUUCCGGGAGAAUUACUUCUCGCUCAGGGAGGCCAGGGUUGAUUUGUGUGAGCCAAGUUUUCUGAAGAUUCACAGGAAGAACAAUUCUUCCUCUAAGAGACAGGGUCUUGCUCUGUCUCCCAGGCUGGAGUGCAGUGGUGCAAUCAUAGCUCACUGCAGCCUCGAUCUACCGUGCUCCAUUGAUCCUCCCACCUCAGCCUUCAGAGUAGCUGGAACUACGGGGGUCUGGCUGGUCCACAGAGAUGACGUCCAAGGGAUAAGAACUCCUUGCCUCCAUUAAAAUGCAACAACCCCUCUAAGAAGAACUGCUGAGUCUUCCCCCCGGUCUGCCCUCUGUCUUCUGGUUGGACACAGCCAAUAGCCUCUUGUGUUUCCCUGUGGGUUCCUUUCCUUCCUCCACAUGUGGAUAUGCUACCCUUCGGUCUCCACAUCAGACUUUUGCUCCUGGCCUGAAUUAAAGUCCCGACCUGCCAAAUCCACUGUCUGGCUCUGUUUCCCCUGACAACCUGAUAACGAGAUUGUCAGCUUGAUCCUUCUCGCUCAAAGCUCUCCCCUCUCACCCCUUGUUGUUUGCUAAAAGUCGUUAGGAGAUUUCUCUGCAGGUCAUUACUGUCCUCCUGCCCUGACAGCAGGUACAAAACUUCUGAAUCUUGCUCAGGGCUGGCCCAGGGGCUUCUCCUUUGGGGAGUCCAGCAAACCACCAGCCUGUCCCUGCAGUGCUCCCUCCUGCCAGGUUCACAGCAUUUCCAGUGAGCCUCAUCAUGGAACCUUGACAUCUCUGAGGCGGGCCCCAUUUAGGGAGCUGCACAAUUGGAGCUUUGUCACAUUUAUAAAGAUAAAUUAAAAUAUUAUCACUAGAGACCGUCAAUAAUUUA